AUUGAACGCUGGCGGCAGGCCUAACACAUGCAAGUCGAGCGGAUGAAGGGAGCUUGCUCCUGGACUCAGCGGCGGACGGGUGAGUAAUGCCUAGGAAUCUGCCUGGUAGUGGGGGAUAACGUCCGGAAACGGGCGCUAAUGCCGCAUACGUCCUGAGGGAGAAAGUGGGGGAUCUUCGGACCUCACGCUAUCAGAUGAGCCUAGGUCGGAUUAGCUAGUUGGUGGGGUAAAGGCCUACCAAGGCGACGAUCCGUAACUGGUCUGAGAGGAUGAUCAGUCACACUGGAACUGAGACACGGUCCAGACUCCUACGGGAGGCAGCAGUGGGGAAUAUCGGACAAUGGGCGAAAGCCUGAUCCAGCCAUGCCGCGUGUGUGAAGAAGGUCUUCGGAUUGUAAAGCACUUUAAGUUGGGAGGAAGGGCAGUAAGUUAAUACCUUGCUGUUUUGACGUUACCAACAGAAUAAGCACCGGCUAACUUCGUG
rnacentral:rRNA from 1 species